UCCCCUAGACGUUCUGGGCUGCACGCGCGCUACAAUAAUACGCACAGCGAGUAUCACCGAGCUCGAAAGGGCAAGGUAAACAAUAGAAAAGGUACUGUAAUGGUUAUAGAUCCUUGUAAUUAUUGAUCUUCAACGAGGAAUUCCUAGUAAGUAUGUGUCAUCAUCACGCACUGAUUACGUCCCUGCCCUUUGUACACACCGCCCGUCGCUCCUACCGAUUGGGUGAGCCGAUGAAACUCUCGGAUGUAGGCUAUUCAUAGCCCGCAGAAGAGAUUUGAAUCGUAGCGCUUAGAGGAAGGAGAAGUCGUAACA
rnacentral:rRNA from 1 species